CCUACGGGUGGCUGCAGUGGGGAAUAUUGGGCAAUGGGCGCAAGCCUGACCCAGCAACGCCGCGUGAAGGAAGAAGGCUUUCGGGUUGUAAACUUCUUUUGACAGGGAAGAGCAGAAGACGGUACCUGUCGAAUCAGCCACGGCUACCUACGUGCCAGCAGCCGCGGUAAUCCGUAGGUGGCAAGCGUUGUCCGGAUUUACUGGGUGUAAAGGGAGCGCAGGCGGCCUGCCAAGUCUGGUGUGAAAACCCGGGGCCCAACCCCGGGCCUGCAUUGGAAACUGGCGGGCUGGAGUGUCGGAGGGGCAGGCGGAAUUCCUAGUGUAGCGGUGAAAUGCGUAGAUAUUAGGAGGAACACCGGUGGCGAAGGCGGCCUGCUGGACGAUGACUGACGCUGAGGCUCGAAAGCGUGGGGAGCAAACAGGAUUAGAUACCCCUGUAGUC
rnacentral:rRNA from 1 species